rnacentral:rRNA from 1 species
AGAGUUUGAUCCUGGCUCAGAACGAACGCUGGCGGCAGGCCUAACACAUGCAAGUCGAGCGAGACCUUCGGGUCUAGCGGCGGACGGGUGAGUAACGCGUGGGAAUAUGCCCUUUGGUACGGAAUAGCCUCGGGAAACUGAGAGUAAUACCGUAUGUGCCCUUCGGGGGAAAGAUUUAUCGCCAAAGGAUUAGCCCGCGUUGGAUUAGGUAGUUGGUGGGGUAAUGGCCUACCAAGCCUACGAUCCAUAGCUGGUUUGAGAGGAUGAUCAGCCACACUGGGACUGAGACACGGCCCAGACUCCUACGGGAGGCAGCAGUGGGGAAUCUUAGACAAUGGGGGCAACCCUGAUCUAGCCAUGCCGCGUGAGUGAUGAAGGCCUUAGGGUUGUAAAGCUCUUUCAGCUGGGAAGAUAAUGACGGUACCAGCAGAAGAAGCCCCGGCUAACUCCGUGCCAGCAGCCGCGGUAAUACGGAGGGGGCUAGCGUUGUUCGGAAUUACUGGGCGUAAAGCGCACGUAGGCGGACUGGAAAGUUGGAGGUGAAAUCCCAGGGCUCAACCUUGGAACUGCCUUCAAAACUAUCAGUCUGGAGUUCGAGAGAGGUGAGUGGAAUUCCGAGUGUAGAGGUGAAAUUCGUAGAUAUUCGGAGGAACACCAGUGGCGAAGGCGGCUCACUGGCUCGAUACUGACGCUGAGGUGCGAAAGUGUGGGGAGCAAACAGGAUUAGAUACCCUAGUAGUCC